GAUGCAGCAAACGCGCGUGCACGAUGAAGGCCUUCGGGUCGUAAAGUGCUUUUCUGGGAGAUGAGAAAGGACAGUAUCUCAGGAAUAAGUCUCGGCUAACUACGUGCCAGCAGCCGCGGUAAAACGUAGGAGGCGAGCGUUAUCCGGAUUCACUGGGCGUAAAGCGCGUGCAGGUGGCGCGGUAAGUUAGGCGUGAAAUCUCCCGGCUCAACUGGGAGAGGUCGUCUAAUACUACCGUGCUGAGAGCAGAAGAGGAAGAUGGAAUUCCCGGUGUAGUGGUGAAAUGCGUAGAUAUCGGGAGGAACACCAGUGGCCGAAGGCGAUCUUCUGGUCUGUUUCUGACACUCAGACGCGACAGCUAGGGUAGUAAACGGGAUUAGAGACCCCGGUAAUCCUAGCCGUAAACGAUGUGAACUUGGCGUUGGUGGGUUAAACUCCAUCAGUGCCGUAGCAAACGCGAUAAGUUCACCGCCUGGGGACUACGGCCGCAAGGUUA
rnacentral:rRNA from 1 species